rnacentral:rRNA from 1 species
AUUGAACGCUGGCGGCAGGCCUAACACAUGCAAGUCGAACGAGUGGCGGACGGGUGAGUAAUGUCUGGGAAACUGCCUGAUGGAGGGGGAUAACUACUGGAAACGGUAGCUAAUACCGCAUACCAUCAGAUGUGCCCAGAUGGGAGUGGCUUGUUGGUGGGGUAACGGUCCACCAAGGCGACGAUCCCUAGCUGGUCGGAGCUGAUGACGAGCCACACUGGAACUGAGACACGGUCCAGACGCCUACGGUAGGCAGCAGUGUGGAAUAGUGCACAAUGGGGGCAAGCCUGAUGCAGCCAUGCCGCGUGUAUGAAGAAGGCCUUCGGGUUUUAAAGUACUUUCAGCGGGGAGGCGUUACCCGCAGAAGAAGCACCGGCUAACUCCGUGCCAGCAGCCGCGGUAAUUC